UUGCUUCUGGAAUAGCUUCUGGAAAUACUCAAGGACGGCUUCUGUCGCUUCUUCAGACACGGCUCUCAACCAGCUGACCAGAACAGUACCCUAAGCAAUGCAAUAAUGGCAGCAGCAGGGUUUGGAAUAGCAGGAUUAGCUUUUCU
rnacentral:lncRNA from 1 species